GAGUUUGAUCCUGGCUCAGGAUGAACGCUAGCGACAGGCUUAACACAUGCAAGUCGAGGGGCAGCGGUGGAGAGAGCUUACUCUCUCCAGCCGGCGACCGGCGCACGGGCUGAGUAACACGUAUGCAACCUGCCCUUGACACUGGGAUAACCCGGAGAAAUCCGGACUAAUACCGGGCGACACCUUCGGAGGGCAUCCUCCUUAGGUCGAAGGAAGCGAUUCCGGUCAAGGAUGGGCAUGCGGCGCAUUAUCUAGUUGGCGGGGUAACGGCCCACCAAGGCGACGAUGCGUAGGGGUUCUGAGGAGGAAGGUCCCCCACAUUGGUACUGAGACACGGACCAAACUCCUACGGGAGGCAGCAGUGAGGAAUAUUGGUCAAUGGGCGCGAGCCUGAACCAGCCAAGUCGCGUGAGGGAAGACGGCCCUACGGGUUGUAAACCUCUUUUGUCGGGGAGCAAGGACUGCCACGAGUGGCACGGCGAGAGUACCCGAACAACAAGCAUCGGCUAACUCCGUGCCAGCAGCCGCGGUAAUACGGAGGAUGCGAGCGUUAUCCGGAUUUAUUGGGUUCAAAGGGUGCGUAGGCGGAAGUUCAAGUCAGCGGUAAAAUCGAGGGGCUCAACCCCUGUAAUCCAGUGAAACUGGGUCUCUUGAGUGGGCGACAACUGUGCGGAAUGUGUGGUGUAGCGGUGAAAUGCAUAGAUAUCACACAGAACUCCGAUUGCGAAGGCAGCACACCGGCGCCCAACUGACGAUGAGGCACGAAAGCGUGGGGAUCAAACAGGAUUAGAUACCNUGGUAGUCCACGCAGUAAACGAUGAACACUAGGUGUGCGGGGCGAAUGAGCCCUGCGUGCCACAGCGAAAGCGUUAAGUGUUCCACCUGGGGAGUACGCCGGCAACGGUGAAACUCAAAGGAAUUGACGGGGGCCCGCACAAGCGGAGGAACAUGUGGUUUAAUUCGAUGAUACGCGAGGAACCUUACCCGGGCUCAAACGGCAGAGGAAAGUUUUUGAAAGGAGGCUGCUCUACGGAGCCUCUGCCGAGGUGCUGCAUGGUUGUCGUCAGCUCGUGCCGUGAGGUGUCGGCUUAAGUGCCAUCACGAGCGCAACCCCUACCGCCAGUUGCCAUCAGGUAAAGCUGGGGACUCUGGCGGGACUGCCGGCGCAAGCUGUGAGGAAGGCGGGGAUGACGUCAAAUCAGCACGGCCCUUACGUCCGGGGCGACGCACGUGUUACAAUGGCAGGUACAGCGGGAAGCCACCGGGCGACCGGGAGCAGAACCCGAAAACCUGUCUCAGUUCGGAUUGGAGUCUACAACUCGACUGCAUGAAGCUGGAUUCGCUAGUAAUCGCGCAUCAGCCAUGGCGCGGUGAAUACGUUCNCCGGGACUGUACACGCCGCCCGUC
rnacentral:rRNA from 1 species